rnacentral:rRNA from 1 species
UACGUAGGGUGCGAGCGUUAAUCGGAAUUACUGGGCGUAAAGCGUGCGCAGGCGGUUUGUUAAGCCAGAUGUGAAAUCCCCGGGCUCAACCUGGGAAUUGCGUUGGAGACUGCAAGGCUGGAGUCUGGCAGAGGGGGGUAGAAUUCCACGUGUAGCAGUGAAAUGCGUAGAGAUGUGGAGGAACACCGAUGGCGAAGGCAGCCCCCUGGGUCAAGACUGACGCUCAUGCACGAAAGCGUGGGGAGCAAACAGG